AUUGAACGCUGGCGGCAUGCCUUACACAUGCAAGUCGAACGGUAACGCGGGGCAACCUGGCGACGAGUGGCGAACGGGUGAGUAAUGCGUCGGAACGUGCCCAGUAGUGGGGGAUAGCUCGGCGAAAGCCGGAUUAAUACCGCAUACGACCUACGGGUGAAAGCGGGGGACCGUAAGGCCUCGCGCUAUUGGAGCGGCCG
rnacentral:rRNA from 1 species